CUGCGGCGGGCCAUCGCUCGGCGGCCGCGACCUCCCCCGGUUGGACGAGGCAGCUGUGGUGAGAGCGGCUCUAGGGCCGGCUGCACGGCGCAGCGUCUCCGAGGAAAUUUCAUUUUAUAUAAAAAAGUGAAGAUAUUUGACGGUGUCCCGACUGAACAAAUCUUCUAAAUAGACUAUCUUCUGGAGCAGCAGCACACCCAUGACCUUGUCCUCAGUGAUCCCCAGAUGUCUAGAGUAUGCCAGGUCCCAUCCGUGCUCAGAGAUAGGGAUAAUCUUGGAGCUGGGGAUCUUCCUGAUUGGGCUGUGCUGAAUCAUGGGUAGGAGCUCUUGUGAGACUGAACUGGCAUCACUGGGUUACAGAAGCUUUAAGAGGACAACCUUGCAUCACAGUGGACCUACUUAGGCAUUCUUAAUGGCAUCACAAUUACCAGUUUAACCCAGCUGACUACCUGCAUGAAUCCAGCUGUCUGUCUGUCUGUUUGUGCUUCCGUUCCACCAUCUGAGCCUCUGAUGGAGGAAACCAAUCAGGCGAAAAGCUUGGUGACAUUAGGCAUUCAUAAAUCUCAACCCAGAAUGAACCCUCAUCUCUGCCUAGCCAUGCUAUUGUUUCUUUGGUCAGUUUGCUUUCUCCCUUCCACAAAGAUUACUUCAAACUCCCUUUACUCUCUUCCCUCUAACAACUUUACAUAAGCAUCUGGAUUUCCACCCAUCUCUGUUCUAGCCUGUUACAGUAAAGGAGUGUUUCCUCCCAUUUAGCUAAGAUCAAUCUCUCCAACAGGGUCUGAUCCUCCCGUCUUCUUUCCCUUUCACUCCUAACUCAGCCUCAUGCUGUCACCUAUUUAUUCCCUCUUCCCUGUCUGUGGCCUCUCGAAUCUUUUGCAAAACAAACAAACCUCCUGAAACCCGUCAUUAAAAACAAAGCCAACAAAAUCCUUCAUCUUAUUUUCCCUUCUAACAAUGGCCAUAUGUCUCUCCUCCUCUUCACAGCCUAAUUUCUUAAGUCAGAUGAUUUUGUAAGGGUAAAUAGAGACAAUCCUCAUGGAUGCAGAAGGGUACGGUUAUUGAGAAGUGAAAGAGCUUGAAGAAAACAUGGAGAUAGCUGUAGACUUCCACAGGGUACCUGGGCUGUGUGGCUAGAUUUAAUCUGAGGAGCCGUAGGUAUGCUUGCCUGUGGUGAACUAGGCAAUAUGAACAAUAUGGCAUAAGUGUGGGUCUGGAAUCAGUUUCUUUACUUGAACAUUUUAAAUGACAACAUUUACUUUGCAGCAUUGUUGUGGGGAUUAAAUGAGCUAAUGGGUAUAAAGCUACUUACCAUGGUACAUGCCCAGUAAAUUUUACCUAUCAUUAUAUUUGUAAUUGUAAUUACGUUGUCAGAUGGGCAGAUGUGUGCAACCAAAUUUGAAAGCCUACAUAUUCAAUACAGAAAUAAAUAUCAAGUCACACAGCUGUCUUUGAACUA